rnacentral:lncRNA from 1 species
CUGAAAAAACAACCGGUACAACAUAUAUAGAUAAAAACCGGUACCAGACCAGCUAACCGGUUCGGUCCGAUCCGGUACGGUAUGACCGAUGAACACGCCUAAUAUCACCUUCCUUAUAAUGUUUGCAAAUAGUUUGAGUUGAAAAAUGUGGUAUUGCAUACUACUUGUUUGAUGAAAUGUCUGUGAGAAGUCAUUUGCUUUGAUUUGUUCUUCAGUGGGCCUUCAUUAUUGAUUAUAUGCAAUUUGCAAGUGGUUUUGAUGUGGGUAUUUUUGAAACCUAAAGUUAUUACAAUCAACCAACAUGAAAAUAAAAUCUAGAUUAUGAGACAUGCUUUUAAUUAUUAUGAAAAUAAAAUCUAGAUCGUUAUGAUAUACCUUUGAUCUAUGACCUAAUGAACUAAUGUUGAAGAAGCGGAAGGUAGAUUUCAGAAUCCCAAUAAAUUCAUAAAUUAUUCUACUCCAAUCUACAAGCAGAAUCCCAAUAACUAUACUUGGGUUCCUUCAGAAGUAUAGUGUAAAUCAUCUUCUAGCUGUAUUAAUUCAUAAAAAGUUGAUAGUUAUUUGAAAUAAUUUCAUUACACAACUCAAAAUUACAAAUGUCAAAUAAUAACUAGUGUGGUCAAAUCAGGGUUACCAGGAAACUCUUAUCGCCUGUGUGCCUCGUACCAAGUUCUAUUGUUCCAAAUUAUGGUGCGAGAAAUAGAUGCCUUAUGCGCUCUACCAUAGGCAGCAUUCCUUGUACCCCAUUUCGUUCGUGUACCUAGUCGAUCUGCAUUCCUCGCAACCAUGGUCAAAUAUCUAGCAUUUGAAGUGGACUCUUCAAUUGGAACAAGCUAAGAGUCCCUUCGUAUAGAAAGCUUCAGUUAUAACAUUAAUAUGUUAACCCUCUAUUCUUACACUGAGCUCAUUAGACAAUUACCUCUUGCUGCUUAUAUCCAAGCACCAAAAUCAAUAGAUUGGAGAGUUAUAUGACCAAGAUAUAUAUAUCUUUCAAGUGUUGUUUACACAAACCAAACCGCCUUCUGUUUAAGCUGGGAUGGAUGCAAGUUAUAAAUCCCGUUUGCCAUCCUGGAAACUUUUGCCUUUCCAUUACAUGGAGAGUGUAAACACAUGGUGUUGCAGCCAUGCAACCCAUAACAAAACAGCAGCAAGUCCGUGACUGGCUCACCAUUCUUGUUAAAGAUGGUAAACACAAGCCACUAUAAGAUAUCCCAUACAGUAAUGCCUCGUCAUAAUUGGAAUGAUGAUGUUCUGAUUUUUCAUUUAAUAUUUCCUGUUCUAUAUCUUCAGUGGAUGGGAGUUUGCUCAGUUCUGGAUCAAAUCGUUUCUCUAUCAGGAUUUCGUGUAUUCUAUACUUUGCUGCCAGUGUGCGGAUGCAAGACUUCCUUACAAGAUCAGAAACUAUGUGUUUUACUUCACUAAAGUUGUCAAACUCACUAAACCAUCUAACCCACCAGGUAGCUAAACCCAAAAACCGGUCAAUAAUUUGAUCAGUAUCUUGUAAGAUGAGCACAUGACAUGUACGAGCGUGCCCUUUAGUAUUACUCAACCCAUAUCUUAAAAGACGCUUCUUUAUGACAUUUAUUGGAGCAAUAAUCUUUAUAUCAAAAACAGGUUCAGAAGAAGAGCUGGAAUUGGGCAAGAGGGCAGCAGUUGCAACUGAAGAUACAUAUUCUUCUGCUCGUUUCUGAAAUGCAUAAAACGAAUCUCGUAGUUCUGGGGGAAGGGAUGGUUCAGCUAUAUAAUUUGAUAAGAUAGAUUCCUCACUCAACGCAGAUUUGGCAUUCACAUGUUGCAUCCAAAUCUUUAGCAAGACUUUGUACCAGUGAUUAGUUUCCAUCUUCUUUGACCUUCUUCAGUCCAUGAGCCAGCCAUUUUUUCCCAAUUCCGACUGUCCCUGCAUCCCAAGCUUCUUGUUUCUGUGAAGCAAAUAAUCUGACUUUAUCCUGUAACUUGUGAACAGUUCUAAUUGCAGGACUCUCUCAUACUUCUUUUAACUAAAGUACCAAGAAAUCGAACACCUUUUUUACCAUUACAUGGAGAGACAUCUGACCCCUUCCACUUCGACAACCGUGUGAUGUCUUCGAAAAGUGUGGCUUGAAAACAACUUCCAAGGCUAUUUUGAUGGCUUCUUGAACAAUUCAAAUUAAGAUUUGGAAGGACAAGGACUUAUUUGGUCCCCUCGUCGAGACAGAGAAUAUAUUAGCAUUGACAUUAAAAUUCCCAAAUGCGAGCUCUUCUGCCAUUUCUUUAAAUGAGAUUUUUUCACACUCCAGUUCUAAGUCAACAUUUGAGUCGACCCUAAUACUAUUGUAAGGAUCAAGAAGAGUUUUUGGAUUUGCAAUCACUUUCACCAUAAGGUCAUGAAAUUUACCAUUGAUAUAUUGUUCCUUCACCCUUUUCUUUAUACGAAGCUCAAAAAGUCUCUUCAGUUCCAUCCGAGUCUGGGGUUUUCUUUCUUCCAGAUUAGAAGAUUCCUCAAGUAAACAGGCUAUAAGUUCUUCGCAAGAGCCAUUUUUCCUCGCUCAUUUGUAUUAUCAUUAUUAACAGCUGCCACAGUUGAAUGAACUGAAUGACAUAAUGGUUUUCUUGUCAACCUCCCUGUUACAACAAACAAAGAAGAAUUAUAGGUAGAGUAACUAGUAGUUUCAAUUCAAUUGGAAAUUUUCUAGCUAAAAGCAAGUAAAUAGUGUUCUUCUUAUGCCACAAAACACGAAGAAUAAACUCAUUUCAUGCCAAACAAAGUAUAAUUUUCAAACAUCAACUACCAAGCAUUAUAGUACGAUUCCUACAUAUUUUCCACACCCAAUUCAUAACAUAUUCUUACAAUAAUCGAGUAAGUUAGCAAGUGAUUACCUAUACCAACAACCAACAACCGAAGAAUUGGCACCAACAAGACUCAUGCUUUCCGCUAUGGUACAUCUCGGCAAGUAUCUCCUGAAAACAAUUGGUAAACCUGCAACCCACAUUUUAUUUGCUAAUCAAAAAGUUAAAAUCUUCAUUCCCUCUCAUUUUCUUCAAGAAAAUCACCCUUCACCCAUAACUCAUAUAAACUCGAAAUCUCCAUAGCCUGCUAUGUACAACCCAAAACAAGAAUUCAAAAAUACCCACAUCAAAGCUACAUAUAAUCAAUAAUAAAAGCCCACUGAAGAACAAAUCAAAGCAAAUGACUUCUCAUAGACAUUUCAUCAAACAGGUAGUAUGUAAUACCACAUUUUUUAACUUAAACUAUUUGCAAACAUUAUAAGGAAGGUGAUAUUAGGGGUGUUCAUCGGUUAUACCGUACCAGAUCGGACUGAACCGGUUAGCUGGUCCAGUACCAGUACAGUACCGAUUUUUAUAUAUAUAUAUAUAUAUAUAUAUAUUGUACCGGUUGUUUUUUUAAUUUUUCAGCCAUGAUACCAUGAAGCAAGUUGCGACAAUAGCAGCUGAGGGAAGCCAAUAUUGCUGGCAUCUAAGCUACAAGAGCAGCUGUAGAAUUGAUAAUAAGUAUAAAGAUAAAUUCAAAUGAACAUUUCCCAAUUUUGGAAACAAAAAAAUUCAAGAAAAUGGCAUGUAAUAUUAAAGGAUGAUAGCAAAAGCAUCCAGUGCCACAAAGAGAUGAAUAACAAUGGUCUUCAGGAGGCCCAAUUUGCAGAUGGAAAUAACGAAUGUUAAGUGGUGACAGAUAUCUCUGAGGCAGCUGAAACAAUUAUGCAAUCAACAUUCCUAUCAAUAUUCAGUUACUAAUCUAAUAUGCAAAGUGAAACCAAUAAUAUUCAGUACCCCCAUGGAACUUCCAAUAAGGCCUUAUUAAUUAAAUCAAUAGAUCUCAAUUCCCUUUGGAGGUCCCUAAAUCAUGCCAACUAGCCACUCUCGAUAAAUCUCAGAUGAGUUAACACGAUUUUUAGAACAACAGUGCUUUAAAAUAAGCUAAUCAAAUUGCAGUUGUAGCUUCAUUGACUCGGCUAGGUGGAAACACACACCCUUAAUAUUGAAUCCAGUAUUUGAAUUAAGUAAUAGACUAAAAUAAAUAAAUUUUAAUUAUAACCAAUCUCUAUGUACUUGAAUAGAAGUGUGAAAGUGGUUGUCAUCAACUUUAGACAAUCAGAUAGCAGAUAUACAUAAAUACACAGUUCCAACAAUAUAAGAAGUUAUAACCAAAUGCAUAUACAAAUAUUAACGAUCUUGCAUAGAGGGUGCAGACUUCAAAUAUUGGGAUUAGUAAUCACAACAAUGGACCCUCUGUUCACUUUAUGUAACAUCAUUAAUACUUGUAUAUGCAUUUGGUUAUAACUUUUUAUAUUGUCGGAACUGUGUAUUUAUGUAUAGAUGCCUAUCUGAUUGUUUAAAGUUGAUGACAACCACUUUCACACUUCUAUUCAAGUACAUAGAGAUUGGUUAUAAUAAAAAUUUAUUUAUUUUAGUCGAUUACUUAAUUCAAAUACUGGAUUCCAUAUUAAGGGUGUGUGUGUUUACACCUAGCCGGGUCAAUAAAGCUACAACUGCAAUUUGAUUAGCUUAUUUUAAAGCAUUGUUGUUCUGAAAAUCGUGUUAGCUCAUCUGAGAUUUAUCGGGUGGCUAGUUGGCAUGAUUUAGGGACCUCCAAAGGGAAUUGAGAUGGCUGUCUCAGAGAUAUCUGUCACCGCUUAACAUUCGUUAUUUCCAUCUGCAAAUUGGGCCUCCUGGAGGCCAUUGUUAUUCAUAUCUCUUCGUGGCACUGGAUGCUUUUGCUGUCAUCCUUUACUAUUGCAUGCCAUUUUAUAGAAUUUUUUUGUUUCCAGAAUUGGGAAAUGUUCAUUUGAAUUUAUCUUUAUACUUGUUAUCAAUUCUUCAGCUACUCUUGUAGUUUAAGAUGGCAGCAAUACUGGCUUCUCACAGUUGCUAUUGUCGCAACUUGCUUAAUGGUAUCAUGACUGAAAAAACAACUGGUACAAUGUAUAUAGAUAAAAAUCGGUACCGGACCAGCUAAUCGGUUCGAUCCGGUACGGUAUGACCGAUGAACACUCCUAAUAUCAUCUUCCUUAUAAUGUUUGCAAUUAGUUUAAGUUAAAAAAUGUGGUAUUACAUACUACCUGUUUGAUGAAAUGUCUGUGAGAAGUCAUUUGCUUUGAUUUGUUCUUCAUUGGGCUUUCAUUAUUGAUUAUAUGCAAUUUGCAGGUGGUUUUGAUGUGGGUAUUUUUGAAUUCUUGUUCUAGGUUGUACAUAGCAGGCUAUGGAGAUUUCGAGUUUAUAUGAGUUAUGGGUGAAGGGUGAUUUUCUUGAAGAAAAUGAGAGGGAAUGAAGAUUUUAACUUUUUGAUUAGUAAAGAAAAUGUGGGUUGCAGGGUUACGAAUUGUUUUCAGGAGAUACUUGCCGAGAUGUACCAUAGUGGAAAGCAUGAGUCUUGUUGGUGUCAAUUCUUCGGUUGUUGGUAUAGGUAAUCACUUGCUAGCCUACUCAAUUAUUGUAAGAAUAUGUUAUGAAUUGG